rnacentral:rRNA from 1 species
GGCCUUUUGUAAUAAAAUUUAAGGUCUUGCCUGCCCACUGAAAUAUUAAAUGGCCGCGGUAUAUUGACCGUGCUAAGGUAGCAUAAUCAUUAGUUUUUUAAUUGAAAGCUGGAAUGAAGGGUUAGAUGAAAAAAUUACUGUCUAAAAUUUAAUUUAUUAGAAUUUUAUUUUUAAGUAAAAAAGCUUAAAUAAAUUUAAAAGACGAGAAGACCCUAUAGAGUUUAAUAAUUUUUUAUUUUAAUUAAUUAAGAAUUAAAAAAAAUUUUUUAUAAAAAAAAAUUAUUUGAUUGGGGUGAUUAAAAAAUUUAAUUAACUUUUUAUAUAUAUAUAUAUUAAUUUAUAAAUUGUAUGAUCCUAUUGUUUAGAUUAUAAGAAAAAAUUACCUUAGGGAUAACAGCGUAAUUUUAUUAUAGAGUUCAAAUCGAUAAUAAAGAUUGCGA